AACGAACGCUGGCGGCGUGCUUAACACAUGCAAGUCGUACGAGAAACAUGUCCUUCGGGGCAUGGAGUAAAGUGGCGCACGGGUGAGUAACACGUGGGUAACCUACCCUGAGGAUCGGGAUAACUGGCCGAAAGGCCCGCUAAUACCGGAUAAGACCACAUGGGCUCUGGCCCAAGAGGCAAAAGUCGGCCUCUCAACGAAGCCGACACCACAGGAUGGGCCCGCGGACCAUUAGCUAGGUGGUGAGGUAACGGCUCACCAAGGCCGAGAUGGUUAGCUGGUCUGAGAGGAUGAUCAGCCACACUGGAACUGAGAUACGGUCCAGACUCCUACGGGAGGCAGCAGUGAGGAAUAUUGCGCAAUGGGGGAAACCCUGACGCAGCAACGCCGCGUGGGUGAAGAAGGCUUUCGGGUUGUAAAGCCCUGUCAGGCGGGAAGAAACCUCUGUAGUCGAAUAGGCUGCAGAACUGACGGUACCGCCAAAGGAAGCACCGGCUAACUCCGUGCCAGCCGCCGCCGUAAGAC
rnacentral:rRNA from 1 species